AGCCGGGCCUGUUCGUGGCCUUGGCCCCACGAACGAGACCGUCCAGCUGGCAGAUUCAAGUUUCCGAGGCUCUUCAUUUCAGCUAGUUUCCCAAGCCCAGGAUCUUUUCUCUUACUGGAGGCUACUUCUCAAAGAGCAGAGCACAGAACCGGCAGCCCAAGAACCAGCCACCUCUUUUUAUCCAAGCAUGGCCACAGGAGGAAUCCCAGCAGCCAGAAGCCAGCAUGGCUGAGCAUUUUGACUAAAUAUGGGAUAUGAAAAUGAAAUGAGAUCGCCAUCUCCCUGGGCUCCCAUCUAUGCCAAG